GGAAAUCUCUCCAGGCCCGGACACUGGAAGGAUUGACAGAUUGAUAGCUCUUUCUUGAUUCUGUGGGUGGUGGUGCAUGGUCGUUCUUAGUUGGUUGAGUGAUUUGUCUUGUUAAUUCCGAUAACGAACGAGACCUUAACCUGCUAAAUAGUGACGCGGUUCAUCGAACCGUGGGCCACUUCUUAGAGGGACUAUCGGAUUCAAACCGAUGGAAGUGUGAGGCAAUAA
rnacentral:rRNA from 1 species